UACAGAGGGUGCGAGCGUUGUCCGGAAUCACUGGGCGUAAAGGGCGCGUAGGCGGUCUCUUAAGCGUGUGGUGAAAGCCCGGGGCUCAACUCCGGGUCGGCCGGUGCGAACUGGGGGACUGGGAGCUUGUCAGAGGCAGGCGGAAGUUCCGGGUGUGAGCGGUGGAAUGCGUAGAGAUCCGGAAGAACACCGGUGGCGAAGGCGGCCUGCUGGGACAGUGCUGACGCUGAGGCGCGACAGCGUGGGGAGCAAACAGG
rnacentral:rRNA from 1 species